rnacentral:lncRNA from 1 species
GGUGGGUGAUCUCUGAGAUUUUUCAUCCAAGCUAUGUGGCAUGGGUUUUUGGGGAGGGCUGAUCUAUAUGUGAUGUGAGAUCUAAGGAAGAAAAGAGAGGUCAUCUUCUUCUUCUUCUUUUUCCUCCUCUUCUCCUUGUUCUUUGAGAGAGUCUGAGAGAAAUGAUGGAGAUCAGCAAAAUCAACCAUCGGGAGGUAGCUUCUGCAAGGGUGCUAGCACCCCAAUAAAGCAACAGGCCUUUAAUUGAAUUGAAGACUUCGUGUAGAUAUCCAUAAAGAUCGGAUGCAUGUGUAACUCUAUGAGAAAUCUCAGAGUAUAACAUGAUCAUCAACUGUGGAG